AGCAGCCGCCACGGUAAUACGUAGGGGGCAAGCGUUAUCCGGAUUUACUGGGUGUAAAGGGAGCGCAGGCAGUUUUGCAAGUUGAGAGUGGAGCAGGGGGCCCAACCCCCUGACUGCUCCCAAAACUGUAAAACUUGAGUAUGGGAGAGGCAGGCGGAAUUCCUAGUGUAGCGGUGAAAUGCUUAGAUAUUAGGAAGAACACCGGUGGCGAAGGCGGCCUGCUGGACCAAAACUGACGCUGAGGCUCGAAAGCGUGGGUAGCAAACAGGAUUAGAUACCCCGGUAGUCCCUGUCUCUUAUACA
rnacentral:rRNA from 1 species